AGCCUUAAGAAAUUAUUUAAGGUGAAGCCUGCCCAGUGAACUAUUAAACGGCCGCGGUACUCUGACCGUGCUAAGGUAGCAUAAUCACUUGACUUUUAAAUGGAGUCUGGAAUGAAUGGAAAAACGGAGUUAAGCUGUCUCUAAUUUUAUAUUUUUAACUUACUAAUUAGGUGAAAAGGCCUAAGAAUGAAAAAAGACGAGAAGACCCUUAGAGUUUUGAUAUUUUUUUGUUGGGGUGACAAAGGAUUUAACAUCCUUAAAUUUAUAAGACGGUUAUCAUGAAUAGAUAAACUACCUAAGGGAUAACAGCAUAAUCUAUUAAGGUUUGUGACCUCGAUGUUGGAUUAGGAAGCUUCUAGGCUAGCCGCUUAGAAUGGUGAUUCUGUUCGAAUUUUUACUCCU
rnacentral:rRNA from 1 species